rnacentral:rRNA from 1 species
CAAGUCGAGGGGCAGCAGGUCUGUAGCAAUACAGAUGCUGGCGACCGGCAAACGGGUGCGGAACACGUACACAACCUUCCUUUAAGUGGGGAAUAGCCCGGGGAAACCCGGAUUAAUACCCCGUAACAUAAUGAAGUGGCAUCACUUUAUUAUUAUAGCUCCGGCGCUUUAAGAUGGGUGUGCGACUGAUUAGGCAGUUGGCGGGGUAACGGCCCACCAAACCUACGAUCAGUAACUGGUGUGAGAGCACGACCAGUCACACGGGCACUGAGACACGGGCCCGACUCCUACGGGAGGCAGCAGUAAGGAAUAUUGGUCAAUGGACGCAAGUCUGAACCAGCCAUGCCGCGUGGAGGAUGAAGGUCCUCUGGAUUGUAAACUUCUUUUAUCUGGGAAGAAACCCAUAAAUUCUUUUGUGGUUGACGGUACCAGAUGAAUAAGCACCGGCUAACUCCGUGCCAGCAGCCGCGGUAAUACGGAGGGUGCAAGCGUUAUCCGGAUUCACUGGGUUUAAAGGGUGCGUAGGUGGAUUGGUAAGUCAGUGGUGAAAUCUCCAGGCUUAACUUGGAAACUGCCAUUGAUACUAUCAAUCUUGAAUACCGUGGAGGUCAGCGGAAUAUGUCAUGUAGCGGUGAAAUGCUUAGAUAUGACAUAGAACACCAAUUGCGAAGGCAGCUGGCUACACGAAUAUUGACACUGAUGCACGAAAGCGUGGGGAUCAAACAGGAUUAGAUACCCUGGUAGUCCACGCCCUAAACGAUGGAUACUCGACAUACGCGAUAUACUGUGUGUGUCUGAGCGAAAGCAUUUAAGUAUCCCACCUGGGAAGUACGAUCGCAAGAUUGAAC